UGUUGAGCUUGACUCUAG
rnacentral:snRNA from 1 species